CGAGUGUAGUUCAAUGGUAGAACGAGAGCUUCCCAAGCUCUAUACGAGGGUUCGAUUCCCUUCACUCAA
rnacentral:tRNA from 1 species